rnacentral:rRNA from 1 species
ACGAACUGUGCAAACGUUAUUCGGAAUCACUGGGCUUAAAGGGUGCGUAGGCGGCAGUGUAGGUCAGAUGUGAAAGCCCACGGCUCAACCGUGGAAUUGCGUUUGAAACCACACAGCUUGAGGGAGAUAGAGGAGAGCGGAACUGUUGGUGGAGCGGUGAAAUGCGUUGAUAUUAACAGGAACACCGGUGGCGAAAGCGGCUCUCUGGAUCUUUUCUGACGCUGAGGCACGAAAGCUAGGGGAGCGAACGGG